rnacentral:rRNA from 1 species
UCGAGAAUCUUCGGCAAUGGGCGCAAGCCUGACCGAGCGACGCCGCGUGCGGGAUGAAGGCCUUCGGGUUGUAAACCGCUAUCAGUGGGGAGGAAAUGCCGGUGGGUUCUCCCAUCGGUUUGACCUAUCCGCAGAUGAAGGACGGGCUAAGUUCGUGCCAGCAGCCGCGGUAAGACGAACCGUCCAAACGUUAUUCGGAUCACUGGGCUUAAAGGGUGCGUAGGCUGUCCGGUAAGUUGGGUGUGAAAGCCCUCGGCUCAACCGAGGAAUUGCGCCCAAAACUGCCGGGCUCGAGGGAGAUAGAGGUGAGCGGAACUAAGGGUGGAGCGGUGAAAUGCAUUGAUAUCCUUAGGAACACCAGUAGCGAAAGCGGCUCACUGGGUCUCUUCUGACGCUGAGGCACGAAAGCUAGGGGAGCGAACGG